UGGGGAAUAUUGGACAAUGGGGGCAACCCUGAUCCAGCCAUGCCGCGUGGGUGAAGAAGGCCUUAGGGUUGUAAAGCCCUUUCAGCGGGGAAGAUGAUGACGGUACCCGCAGAAGAAGCCCCGGCUAACUCCGUGCCAGCAGCCGCGGUAAUACGGAGGGGGCAAGCGUUGUUCGGAAUUACUGGGCGUAAAGGGCGCGUAGGCGGCCGGUCGCGUCAGGCGUGAAAGCCCCGGGCUCAACCAGGGAACUGCGCUUGAUACGGGCUGGCUUGAGAUCGGAAGAGGAGUGUGGAAUUCCCAGUGUAGAGGUGAAAUUCGUAGAUAUUGGGAAGAACACCAGUGGCGGAGGCGGCACUCUGGUCCGUAUCUGACGCUGAGGCGCGAAAGCGUGGGGAGCAAACAGGAUUAGAUACCCCCGUAGUCC
rnacentral:rRNA from 1 species